UGCUUCGUGGUAGAGCUUUGA
ensembl:piRNA 21ur-1358 ncRNA